GUGCUCGCUUCGGCAGCACGUAUACUAAAAUUGGAACGAUACAGAGAAGAUUUAGCAUGGCCCCUGCACAAGGAUGACAAGCAAAUUCGUGAAGCGUUCUGUAUUUUU
rnacentral:snRNA from 1 species